rnacentral:lncRNA from 1 species
CAUCAAAUUAUAUAUCACGUGGUUAAUUUCCUUAGAUGGUCACAUGAUUUACAUUUCCUAAUAUGGUACACAGAAAUAUCACAUGCAAUCCUUAUAUGGUUUAACUUCCUAAUAUGGUCGUCAUGCUAACCGUUCGACUACUUUUUCACUUGUAAAAUCUAAUCAAACACAAUGUACUUACAUACGAUGAACAUUCUUCCCCAUUCAGCACUAUAAUUUUCCCUUGCACUGUGUUACAUAGCUCUUUACUAGAUAUUGAUAGUUCGAAAACACAAGAGGCUUUCAUGCGCACAUUUUCAAUCUGAUCACUGUUCAUUAUAUGGUUCAUCAACACUCUGUUGAUAGAAGGAUCUAUCUCUCCACUAAAGAAUUUAAUGGCAUCAUCUCGACAAUCUAAUAUGUCUUCACUCCUAUAACAUUCAGCUGUAUUUGUUGCAACACUUCCCUCAUGGCUAAAUGACAAUAAACAACUCACGACAACAAUCAAAAACAUGGCGAUCAUCUUCAAUUUCUAUAGAGUGUGAAAAGGUGACGACACGUGAGUGAAUAAAGGAAAGCUUUUUAUUAUUUUUACCUGAUUAAAAGAACGAUUUUGUUUUAAAGAAAAAAAGAAUUUCAUCAUAUUUUGUUUUGUUUUCUUAUCACUUAUUUAAAUUUUAUUUAUUACUUAAAAACGAAUACUUUAUUACAAUUGAAUAUAUGUUUUAGGAACCAAUGGAAGUGGACCUGUUUGAUAGUGUAUUGGAUGAUCAAAAAAGAUUAUUUUGAUGUGCAACGGAACAAAAAAGACAGAAACUAGAAUAUUUUAAAUAAAUGAUUAAUACAUGAAAUGUGUUAUUAAUUUGUGUUUAAAGAAAUUAUAUAUAGAUUAGACAACGAGGUGUUUAUUUUUAAACAAACUAAUUGAGAAAAGAAAGAAAAUAAUAUCAAGAAUUUACAAAGAGAAAGAAAGAAAAACUUUUUUUCAAGUUCACAAUAAAUACUAUAGGUAGGUCUUGAAAUAUUAGAGGCUAUCUGGAUGAUGGUCGGGGAAAUUUGGACUGGCACUGGAAAAUGAGGGUAUAUUGGAUAGGGACAGAAAUUUUGCCUUGCAACAGGCCACCUACGGAGAAAAGAAAGAAAAUAAUAUCAAGAAUUUACAAAGAGAAAGAAAGAAAAACUUUUUUUCAAGUUCACAAUAAAUACUAUAGGUAGGUCUUGAAAUAUUAGAGGCUAUCUGGGAUGAUGGUCGGGGAAAUUUGGACUGGCACUGGAAAAUGAGGGUAUAUUGGACAGGGACAGAAAUUUUGCCUUGCAACAGGCCACCUACGGACCCCUCAAAGAGUUGUUGCAAGAGUUCUUAACGUGCAAAGAGCGUGGCACUUUCUUUACACGAGGCAUCGAAUUUAACGUCACCAAUCUGACCGGACGUGACUGCGAACUUAACACAUCCCGCACAGCCAAACGGACGCCUCACCGUAAACAUUAUCUUAACUGUUUAUUUAUUUUCUUUUUCUUUUUAGAAUCGUGUUAUUGAUUUAACAUCAUCUAAUGAACAGGAAGCAAUGGAGGUGGAACAUAGUGCUGCUUGUAAAAGCAGCGCAAGCAAUGGUGCGUGUGGACAAAAAGAUGUAAGCAUAACGCAUAUCUCUCAUAAAUAUAAUUCUUAAUAUUACAAUAAUCAUAAUCAAAAUAUAUUGUUUAAACAUGAGAAAAAUGCAAUUUAAAACUAAUGAAAUAAAGAUAUUUUUUUUCUUAAAAAUUUAUAAAUUAAAUGUUUGGCAUAGAUUACUUCUUUUACCUAGACGUAUAUCUCACUAUGUUAAUUUCCUUUAAAAAGGAGACAAUUAUUUCAUCAUUUCUAUGUAUUUACAUAUACAUAUCAUUACAGACAUUAGAAAGUGAUAUAGAAGAAGCUAGUGAGAUAUAUCUCAAUGUGAGUAUAUAUAUAUAUUUUAAUUUUUAUUUUCAUCAUUAACAUGAUUAUUUCAUUUCUUUUUAAUAUCAUUAUUGUAAAUCAUCAAAUUAUAUAUCACGUGGUUAAUUUCCUUAGAUGGUCACAUGAUUUACAUUUCCUAAUAUGGUAUACAGAAAUAUCACAUGCAAUCCUUAUAUGGUUUAACUUCCUAAUAUGGUCGUCAUGCUAACCGUUCGACUACUUUUUCACUUGUAAAAUCUAAUCAAACACAAUGUACUUACAUACGAUGAACAUUCUUCCUCAUUCAGCACUAUAAUUUUCCCUUGCACUGUGUUACAUAGCUCUUUACUAGAUAAUGAUAGUUCGAAAACACAAGAGGCUUUCAUGCGCACAUUUUCAAUCUGAUCACUUUUCAUUAUAUGGUUCAUCAACACUCUGUUGAUAGAAGGAUCUAUCUCUCCACUAAAGAAUUUAAUGGCAUCAUCUCGACAAUCUAAUAUGUCUUCACUCCUAUAACAUGUAUAACAUUCAGCUGUAUUUGUUGCAACACUUCCCUCAUGGCUAAAUGACAAUAAACAACUCACGACAACAAUCAAAAACAUGGCGAUCAUCUUCAAUUUCUAUAGAGUGUGAAAAGGUGACGACACGUGAGUGAAUAAAGGAAAGCUUUUUAUUAUUUUUACCUGAUUAAAAGAACGAUUUUGUUUUAAAGAAAAAAAGAAUUUCAUCAUAUUUUGUUUUGUUUUCUUAUCACUUAUUUAAAUUUUAUUUAUUACUUAAAAACGAAUACUUUAUUACAAUUGAAUAUAUGUUUUAGGAACCAAUGGAAGUGGACCUGUUUGAUAGUGUAUUGGAUGAUCAAAAAAGAUUAUUUUGAUGUGCAACGGAACAAAAAAGACAGA